ensembl:snRNA LOC120096748 U6 spliceosomal RNA
GCGCUCGCUUCGGCAGCACUUAUACUAAAAUUGGGACGAUACAGGGAUUAGCAUGGCCCCUGUGCGAGGAUGACACACAAAUUCAUGAAGCGUUCCAUAUUUUU